AAUAUGGGUCAAUGUGUGCAAUGCUGAUACCAUCAUGCAGCGUGUGUUAAGAUGGUCCUCGAUGUGUAAAGCACUUUACGUUGGGAGGAAGGGUUAUAGGUUAAUCCCCUCAAGUUUUGACUAUACCAACAGAAUCAGCACCGGCUAACUCUGCGCCAGCAGCCGCGGUAAUACAGAGGGUGCAAGCGUUAAUCGGAAUUAUUGUGCGUAAAGCGUGAGUAGGUGGUUCAGUAAGAUGGGUGUGAAAUCCCCGGGCUUAACCUGGGAACUGCUUUCAUAACUGCUGAGCUAGAGUACGGUAGAGGGUAGUGGAAUUGCCUGUGUAGCGGUGAAAUGCGUAGAUAUAGGAAGGAACACCAGUGGCGAAGGCGACUACCUGGACUGAUACUGACACUGAGGUGCGAAAGCGUGGGGAGCAAACA
rnacentral:rRNA from 1 species